rnacentral:rRNA from 1 species
AAACCAUCCCGCUUCGGCGGUAUAUCGGUGAUUCAUAAUAAAUAUGCGAAUCGCAUUGCUUUAUGCUGGCGAUGUAUCAUUCAAGUUUCUGACCUAUCAGCUUUGGACGGUAGGGUAUUGGCCUACCGGGGCAGCGACGGGUAACGGGGAAUUAGGGUUCGAUUCCGGAGAGGGAGCCUGAGAAAUGGCUACCACAUCUAAGGAAGGCAGCAGGCGCGUAAAUUACCCAAUCCUAACACAGGGAGGUAGUGACAAGAAAUAACAAUACGAGGCUUAAAGUCUUGUAAUUGGAAUGACGGAAAUUUAAGCUCUUUCCGGAGUAUCAAUUGGAGGGCAAGUCUGGUGCCAGCAGCCGCGGUAAUUCCAGCUCCAAUAGCGUAUAUUAAACUUGUUGCAGUUAAAAAGCUCGUAGUUGAAUUUCUGCUGCAUCAUUUAUAUUCCUUAAUCGGUUUAUUUAUGUUGUGGCUUUUUCUGGUGAUUAUAUUUCGGUAUGAUUAUCCAGAUUGUUACUUUGAGAAAAUUAGAGUGCUUAAAGCAGGCUUUUGCCUUGAAUACUUUAGCAUGGAAUAACUAAGUAGGACUUUGGUUCUAUUUUGUUGGUUUAAGAGCCAAAGUAAUGAUUAAUAGGAACAGUUGGGGGCAUUCGUAUUUAACUGUCAGAGGUGAAAUUCUUAGAUUUGUUAAAGACGAACUACUGCGAAAGCAUUUGCCAAGGAUGUUU